UGUAUGGAUAUGUGGAGUCACGCCACACAUGAGAAUUGCUUAAAAUAAUGGUUCUCAUGUAAUAUUAGUAUUAUAUUGUAUUAUUAGUGUUGUUGUUGUUGUUGUUGUUGUUGUUUUUUGAAGGGUGUGGCCACCAUCCGCACACCUCAACUUUCCUUGUGGAGGUGUUGCUCCAAUCAAAAGUCAAGAGAGCAAAGGGUCAAAAGUUCUUUUAAAAGACAUGAGAUAGGGUUUAGAAUGACUCAUUCCUUUGUAUGAUAUGGCGAGGAAGGUACGUUGUACUUGACCAAUGCUACACCAAUGCUUCAUAAUGUUUGCCUCUUAAUUAGAAUUCCUAUACAUCCAAUAUUUUGGAGACUUUCUUUCCUUAAGAAAUGAUACGAUAAAUUAUGAAUCCACAUGGAAGUUUCCACAUUGUACUUAGGUCAUGUCUUGUAAUACAUGUAUGUAUUAAACCUUGGGUUGAAGCUCUUUUCUUUCUUUCUCAUAUAUAUAUAUAUAUAUAUAUAUUUAUAUUUAACCUAAAACUGUACCAUUUGUUCUUUUAUUGUAUUUUUUAAAAAUUACAAUUAUUUUGUUGAAUUUUUUUGUAAAUAUCAUAUCAAAACACAUUGUAUUCCAACAGCCAUACCCAUAAAAUAAAUGUACUUCAGAAAAAGAAAUUGAACAAUAACAACAACAUUAAUCCCAAGUAAAAAAACAAUAAACAAAAAUUGUAAAACAUAACCUUGCUUAUUGUUGUUGUUGUUGUUUGUCUGUCUGUUUGUUUGUUUGAUGUUUUUUGUUUUGUUUUGUUUUGUUUUUUUUCUGAAUAUGUAUUCGUUUUAGGAUAUGAAAUACCAUCCCAAUGAUAUCCAUUAAAAGUCAUUUUACUCAUUUUGAUUUGAUUUUGAUUUUUUUUACAUAAUUUUUUUUUACAUGUACAUAAACAAUAUGCACACUUCAGUACAAGGCAAAGAAUGCAAACUUCCACAUAAAGAGAAAGUUUUCCAACAAUGGCAUUUUAGUCUUUAUUCCUGUUAUCAUUUCAUUUGAUAAUUAUUUUCUCUACCUUUCCUUUUCAACCGAUCAUGAAUAUUGUUCCAAAUUCUUCAAAGUUUUCAUUGAUUGGUGCAAGCAACGUGAUUGAGAAGUAAUAUAACAACCAUAAAUUACAACCACACAACAAUGUGAAUAUGCUUCAGAUGGAGGUCCCCAUAGUUACAAGUAGGAUAUUUAUUUAUUUAUUUAUCUGAAUGUUAACAUUCUACAUUUGGUUCAUUCUUUCACAAACAUUGUAUGGUUUACCUCUCUCUAAGUAAUUAUGUAUGUAUGUAUGUAUUAAUAUAUAUAUAUAUAUAUAUAUAUCAUAGGAAUAGAUAAGAUGAGAGACAAUAUUCACUAUCCAAGGCAUCACCUUAUUUCCUAUCUUCCUGUUGUUGUCCAUUGAAAGUCUGUCAGUUGCUCUUUCAUCUUUCCAUGAAGAUUUUCAAGUACUUUCUCCCUUUUUGUGCAAAAAAUAAUUAAAUAUACAUAUUUUUCUUGCAUGGUUUUGACGUUGCUUUAACAUGAGCAAAACCCUAAAACCACCAAAAAAUAAUAAAUCAAUCAAUUCAGGUGAUGUGACGAUGUCAAAGAAUAUGAAAUUUUACUCAAUUUACAUGUAUUGGUGGUAUAUUAAGCAUACCCAAUUCACGUGCGAGAUCCAAUCUCCCUCAUAUGUGUAAUCAACUACUCACUUUUGUUUUGUAGGAAACCUCAUAUCGUUGGAAUAUUAUAUCACUUAUUCGUAGUGAUCGAUUGACAGUAUUAAAAAUAGAAAAAAACAAGAAAUUUGUUUGCAACAAUCCAGGAACAAAAUAUAGACACGCUUCUGGUCAUUGUAUAAUUAAACAGAAAAAGUCAUCCACAGAAUAGAAUGAUAAUAUGAAAAAGAACCCAUCUCAUGAAAUCUUAUGAAGAAGAAUAUCCGCAGACAUAUUACAUUCAAGUGUUUCAAUCUUUUUUUGUAUUAACACCAAUUCCACACAACCCCCCCUCUCUCUAAUUAUUAUUAUUAUUAUUAUUAAUUUGUUGUUUAUAAAUAUUAUAUUAUUACUUGACUAUUUCACCUUUUUUAUUUUAUUUUAUUUUUUAAAUCUUUUUCUGCCCCUUAAUGGGUCCACAUUCUUCCUUGCUUUGACAAUCAAAAGAUUGAGGUGGUCAUGUAAAGACUGUUCUUAACCUCUCAUUCCAUGGCAUGAAUAAUGUGUUCCGUUCCUCUGGGUGUGUGUGGAUGGAUGAAUGGAUUAAUCAAUUUUAAUAACAUUCACAACUCUAUGUGUAUGUGUGUUUUAUUGUCCUUUCUUUCUUUCUUUCUUUUACUAUUAUUUUACUCGGUAUUGGUGAUUUAGAGUUUAAAAAAAAAUGAAUAAAUAAGAACAGGGGAAUGAAAUACAACUCAUAUUUUAGUGAGGAUGUUUGGGUAUAUGAUCCAAUCAUUUUGGAUUCAUAACUGAUCUUAAAACAAUCACGAUUUCAUUUUUUGCACAUAUUUUUUUGUAUGCAUAUGUGGAUUUGAGAGUUUUGAUAGGCUCAGAUAGAUUUCGGAAAGUCAUGCAGUCACAUGUUUGACUUGAAUGAUUCAUGGAAGUGAUAAAUAAUAAAUAAAUAAAAACUGAAAAGAUGAAAGAAGAAACACAUUUAUUUGUGAGAAAUGGGAUGAGAUAAUGACAAUAUCAGCCACUAUUAACAAAUCUCAGGAUUCUGGUUCCAAGCAGAUUUUUAGAGUGCCACUGGCAUUAAGAACACCAACUUUAAAUAAAAUAACAAAAAUAAAAUGUGCCGUACCUCCCACUUUCCAAGUUAGACAAAUAGAAAACACAACACGGUGUACAACUCUAAGUAUGACAAAUGAAAUGGGAAGGUACUGGAACGUUUGGAGAACACUCUGAAAAUCCAACACAGAGAGUUGUCAUGCAACAAGUUUGAAGAACACACAUUCAAUCUCAGGCAAUGGAAAUCAAACCUGAACCAUGAGUGAAGUAUCCCUCUUUCAUUCACAACAGAAUACUAAACCUGCUUACAGAUGGGAGUAAAUGAAUGAACGAAUGAAUGAACAAACAAUGAAUAAUAAAAUGGAAUCAUUCAGUGAGUGGAGGAGCAUAUUACCCACUUGGUGUCCAAUGCCAAAAUGCCUGCAAAUCUCCAGGUCAAGUCCAGCUCAUUUGGUGUUGGCUCUGGUGUGUAUAUGGGGGAGGAGAACAGGCUCUUUUUAUAUGUGCCCCACUUAUUCCACUCCACUCAUGUUGCUUUUUUAAACUUCUUUUGAUGUCCAUGGCUCUUUUUUCCUGCUAUUCGAAGCCCCUUUUUAGAGCUUCCAAAAAAACUAUGUUUGCUGUAGAGGCUCCACAUCACCUAAUUCCUUCUACCACCACUGCCACCAUUGCUACCACCACACCAUUUCUUUUUGAAUAAAAUAAUUGUUGUGCUUCCAUGGAACUGCAAUGCCUUCUGCCAUUGGAUUGGCAGAGAGUGUGUGAUCAAGACCCUCCAGAGAUGUCUAUGGCUACUGUUUUCUGUUGCACACUUGACCCACUCUUUUUAUGAGGUCAACAAAGUGUGUAGGCAAAGGGGGAGAGAAGACCCAGUUUUCAAAGUCCUCUUUUUCUUGUUUCCCUCUGUUUUGACAGAUUCAGGCUCCAUUUGGGGUUGGUGAUUAUGAAGCCUACAGCCAUUUUGCAGACACAUGCACAUGAUUACAAUGAGCUGUACUGAACAAUAACAAUGAGAGCAGGGCAGGCAGACCAGGGUUUAUAUUUCACAUGACAUGGUACUAAUCUCAAUCUUGUCAGACAAUUAUAGCAUAAACUUGGAGUUAUGUGUUCCAAGUCAAAUGCAAAUCCCCCAUCAUCUUGCCCUGUGAGGAACACAAACACAGCAAAAAGAAUACAAUAACCUUUGAGGGUGUUUGCUGUUUCAAGAGUUUGCCUGUUGGGGACCAAUUCCACUGUCCAGGACCCACUUGUAUGUUAGUAAUGUUAAAAUCAUGUUGUUAUUAUUAUU
rnacentral:lncRNA from 1 species